rnacentral:lncRNA from 1 species
GACGUGUUGAGAAUUGGAGAUCGUGAUUCAUAUUUAAAGAUGUCAUAGAGAAAACCAGAGAGAAUGUGAUUGUUUUAAACAAAAUUAUAUAAGAGUGAUUCCAGAGCAAUCGCGUAUACAUGUUAUUUAAACUGUGAGGAUGAUAAGCCUGAAAUUAAGGUGAAAUUGACUCGAGAUUUACCCCCAUUUAGCUUAUGGAGGCAAAACGCAUUCGGAAAAAUACUAGAUCAAGCUUGCUUGGAUGCCUUAUUUUUUAGUUAUACUACAACGCAGAUCUAUGAACAUACUGAUAUGCCCGGACUGGGAAUAAGACACCAGGGUUUGGGUAUCCCCCCUUUUUCUGUUGUAUCUUAUAUAUAUUUUUUUUCUAAAAAAAUCUUAUCGAAAACACAAUCCUACUUUUGAGGACAGGUUACACGUGCUUGCCCUUCUCAAAUUUCAUAUGAAUUAAAAUCCCGAAGAAUCGUGCAUAAUCAUAUGAGGACCUUACUUUAACCAAACUUCACUGAAACUAUAAAUUCAGGAUCUUUUGAAAUCAUAGAUGAAGCCAAUAAUGAUUGGCCCGACUAUUUACCUUACAGGAAAUCCAAUACCCAAGC